rnacentral:rRNA from 1 species
AUUGAACGCUGGCGGAAUGCUUUACACAUGCAAGUCGAACGGCAGCACGAGGGCAACCUUGGUGGCGAGUGGCGAACGGGUGAGUAAUACAUCGGAACGUGCCCAGUCGUGGGGGAUAACGUAGCGAAAGCUACGCUAAUACCGCAUACGAUCUAUGGAUGAAAGCGGGGGACCGUAAGGCCUCGCGCGAUUGGAGCGGCCGAUGGCAGAUUAGGUAGUUGGUGGGGUAAAGGCUCACCAAGCCUGCGAUCUGUAGCUGGUCUGAGAGGACGACCAGCCACACUGGAACUGAGACACGGUCCAGACUCCUACGGGAGGCAGCAGUGGGGAAUAUUGGACAAUGGGG